CCUACGGGGCGCAGCAGUGGGGGAUAUUGGACAAUGGGGGGAACCCUGAUCCAGCGACGCCGCGUGAGUGAAGAAGUAUCUCGGUAUGUAAAGCUCUAUCAGCAGGGAAGAAGAAAUGACGGUACCUGAGUAAGAAGCCCCGGCUAACUAAGUGCCAGCAGCCGCGGUAAUACGUGGGGGGCAAGCGUUAUACGGCAUUACUGGGUUUAAAGGGAGCGUAGACGGUGAUGUAAGUCUGGAGUGAAAGCCCGGGGCACAACCCCGGGACUGCUCUGGGAACUGCGCGGCUGGAGUGCAGGAGGGGCAGGCGGAAUUCCUGGUGUAGCGGUGAAAUGCGUAGAUAUCAGGAGGAACACCGGUGGCGAAGGCGGCCUGCUGGACUGCGACUGACGUUGAGGCCCGAAAGCGUGGGGAGCAAACAGGAUUAGAUACCCGAGUAGUC
rnacentral:rRNA from 1 species